GAUGAACGCUGGCGGCGUGCCUAAUACAUGCAAGUCGAGCGAACGGACGAGAAGCUUGCUUCUCUGAUGUUAGCGGCGGACGGGUGAGUAACACGUGGAUAACCUACCUAUAAGACUGGGAUAACUUCGGGAAACCGGAGCUAAUACCGGAUAAUAUUUUGAACCGCAUGGUUCAAAAGUGAAAGACGGUCUUGCUGUCACUUAUAGAUGGAUCCGCGCUGCAUUAGCUAGUUGGUAAGGUAACGGCUUACCAAGGCAACGAUGCAUAGCCGACCUGAGAGGGUGAUCGGCCACACUGGAACUGAGACACGGUCCAGACUCCUACGGGAGGCAGCAGUAGGGAAUCUUCCGCAAUGGGCGAAAGCCUGACGGAGCAACGCCGCGCGAGUGAUGAAGGUCUUCGGAUCGUAAAACUCUGUUAUUAGGGAAGAACAUAUGUGUAAGUAACUGUGCACAUCUCGACGGUACCUAAUCAGAAAGCCACGGCUAACUACGUG
rnacentral:rRNA from 1 species